rnacentral:rRNA from 5 species
AAACUUUUAACAACGGAUCUCUUGGCUCUGGCAUCGAUGAAGAACGCAGCGAAAUGCGAUAAGUAAUGUGAAUUGCAGAAUUCAGUGAAUCAUCGAAUCUUUGAACGCACAUUGCGCCCGCCAGCACUCUGGCGGGCAUGCCUGUCCGAGCGUCAUU